UACGUAGGGUGCGAGCGUUGCCCGGAUUUAUUGGGCGUAAAGAGCGUGUAGGCGGCCAUACAGGUCCGUUGUGAAAACUGGAGGCUUAACCUCCAGACGUCGAUGGAAACCGUAUGGCUAGAGUCCGGAAGAGGAGAGUGGAAUUCCUGGUGUAGCGGUGAAAUGCGCAGAUAUCAGGAAGAACACCCGUGGCGAAGGCGGCUCUCUGGGACGGUACUGACGCUGAGACGCGAAAGCGUGGGGAGCGAACAGG
rnacentral:rRNA from 1 species